UACGUAGGGCGCAAGCGUUGUCCGGAAUUAUUGGGCGUAAAGAGCUCGUAGGCGGUCUGUCGCGUCGGAUGUGAAAGCCCGGGGCUUAACCCCGGGUCUGCAUUCGAUACGGGCAGACUAGAGUGUGGUAGGGGAGAUCGGAAUUCCUGGUGUAGCGGUGAAAUGCGCAGAUAUCAGGAGGAACACCUGAGGUGAAGACGGGUUGCUGGGCUGACACUGACGCGGAGGCGCGAAAGCCAGGGGAGCAAACGGG
rnacentral:rRNA from 1 species